AAAACACGCGAAUACCCCUCCACCUGCGAUUUCACGCAAAACGGCACAUAAAAAGUCGCGACUUUUGCGAAAAUACCGUUUUGCCAAUACCGACCUCACCUCAAUCAACAUGCAAUCUCCGUAUAUCCGUCUAUCCGAUUUGCGAACGAAUCGCACCAAUGCGAUCAGCACCUCGGAGACAACAAGGCUGCGAUUUCGUUUCGCCUCAAACAGUCGCGGAUUCGCGACGAAAUCCGCUCUCUCUCCAAAAGGCCAAAUACGACGCACAAUUACAUAUAAAACAUGUAUUUUCUGAUUUUUUUCAAAAUCCGUGCGUCAAACUCAAAAUCCGUCAGCGCCAUUAGUUCCAGAAUAACUGAACCAGUCGAAACGAGCUAUUGGAUUGCUAUGAACGGAGUCCGAUACGCGCCAGAAGCCGUAUUCUCAUAUUAACUUCUCCGAAAAACCAGAGUUACUAUUCACUUAAGUGAAAACUAAAAAUCGCGUAUCUUCUCUAUUUUAGCUCAUUUUCUCCUGAAACUUGACGAGUGCUUAUGUAAUUAAAUUACACACAGGAACAUCGUCAACAGAGAGUCUAAUUGUACUACCAAAAUCUCAGUCCUUACACGUGUCCAAAUACAUCCUAAUCGUAAAAUCUACCAUAUCUUUAUAGAUCGACUUAAUAGAUUGACUGUAUCUUUAUGGAUCGCCUUGAAUAUAUCACGUGGGCCACAUCCAACAUAUAAACUUUAGCAAA
rnacentral:lncRNA from 1 species